rnacentral:rRNA from 1 species
UUAUCUCUGUAGAGUCUGCAUAUCAAUAAGCGGAGGAAAAGAAACUAACAAGGAUUCCCCUAGUAACGGCGAGUGAAGCGGGAAGAGCUCAAAUUUGAAAUCUUCAAGGUUCUACCUUGACGAAUUGUAGUUUAAAGAAGUGUUUUCGGUUAGAGGAGUAGUAAAAGUUCUUUGGAAUAGGACAUCAUAGAGGGUGAGAAUCCCGUAUUUGACUAUUCUUUCUAGCUUUGUGAUACACUUUCAAAGGGUCGGAUUGUUUGGGAAUGCAGUCCAAAAUGGGUGGUAAAUUUCAUCUAAAGCUAAAUAUUGGCGAGAGACCGAUAGCGAACAAGUACCGUGAGGGAAAGAUGAAAAGAACUUUGAAAAGAGAGUUAAACAGUACGUGAAAUUGUCAAAAGGGAAGCGUUUGACACCAGUGUUGUUUUUCCGAAAAUCAAUUAAAAAUGGAUUCAUGCUAAGUUGUAUUGACCUUAUCAGCUUGCAAUUUAGUUUUGGGUUUCUUUUUGAUGCACUUUUCGGUUAACAAGUCAACAUCAAUUUCCUUUGCUGUAAAAAGGCAGGAGGAAGGUGGCUUCAAUUUCGGUUGAAGUGUUUAUAGCCUUCUGUCUCUGCAGUCGGGGAGAUUGAGGUCUGCAGCGUAGAUCCUUCGGGGCUAGAUACAUUCGUGCUAAGUUAUAGCCUUUCAUAGACAACUUGUUGACUAUGAUUCAGUCAUUGUAGAUUUACUCGCUAUGCUAUUUUACCUACGCUUAGGAUGUUGAUCUACAGAGCGAGAGU